rnacentral:rRNA from 1 species
UACAGAGGUCUCAAGCGUUGUUCGGAUUCAUUGGGCGUAAAGGGUGCGUAGGCGGCGCGGUAAGUCGGGUGUGAAAUCUUGGAGCUUAACUUCGAAACUGCAUUCGAUACUGCCGUGCUUGAGUACUGGAGAGGAGACUGGAAUUUACGGUGUAGCGGUGAAAUGCGUAGAUAUCGUAAGGAAGACCAGUGGCGAAGGCGGGUCUCUGGACAGUUCCUGACGCUGAGGCACGAAGGCCAGGGGAGCAAACGGG